AGUGAACGCUGGCGGUAGGCCUAACACAUGCAAGUCGAACGGCAGCACAGGAGAGCUUGCUCUCUAGGUGGCGAGUGGCGGACGGGUGAGGGAUACAUCGCAAUCUGCCCAGUCGUGGGGGAUAACGUAGGGAAACUUACGCUGAUACCGCAUACGCCCUUCGGGUGAAAGAGGGGGAUCGCAAGACCUCUCGCGAUUGGAUGAGCCGAUGUCGGAUUAGCUAGUUAGCGGGGUAAUGGCCCACCAAGGCGACGAUCCGUAGCUGGUCUGAGAGGAUGAUCAGCCACACUGGAACUGAGACACGGUCCAGACUCCUACGGGAGGCAGCAGUGGGGAAUAUUGGACAAUGGGCGCAAGCCUGAUCCAGCCAUACCGCGUGGGUGAAGAAGGCCUUCGGGUUGUAAAGCCCUUUUGUUGGGAAAGAAAACUUUCAGGCUAAUACCCUGGGAGGAUGACGGUACCCAAAGAAUAAGCACCGGCUAACUUCGUG
rnacentral:rRNA from 1 species